UACGGAGGGUGCUAGCGUUGUUCGGAAUUACUGGGCGUAAAGGGCGCGUAGGCGGCCGUUUGCGUCGGAUGUGAAAGCCCGGGGCUCAACCUCGGAACGGCAUUCGAUACGGGACGGGCUGGGAGACCGGGAGAGGAGAGUGGAAUAGCCAGUGUAGAGGUGAAAUUCGUAGAUAUUGGCUGGAACACCGGUGGCGAAAGCGGCUCUCUGGCCCGGUUCUGACGCUGAGGCGCGAAAGCGUGGGGAGCAAACAGG
rnacentral:rRNA from 1 species